AAAAACCCAGUUGAAACAUCUCCUCUCACCUCUCCCCUCCAAUCAUUUUGUUAAAGGGUCCUUGUCUUUCUUCUGUCAUUUCAUUUGCAAACAAGCACUCUUAACUGUAAUGCAGGGAUAGCUUUCAGUUUGACUUGGCUUUUAAUAAUUUGUUUCAGGAGGAUUAAAACCUUUCUUUUGAAUCAUGUCUGAUAUUUUCCAGUCAUGUCAUAAUUCACUUGUUGCAGAUUCUGCACUAGAUGAUUUCUAAAUUUAUGGGGAAGUUUUUUGCAUCUGAAGUAUGAACCAGGUCUCUCCUGCACCAAGGAUCUGCCCAUUGUUGCUGUAUACUGAGCUUCAACCAUUACUUCAAUUUGGGAGAAGGGGCUUUUGGGCAGGAGCAAGACAGGAGUUCCCUUCUUCUGACAGUUUCAUGCUUGGAGGAAGAGUGUCUGGCUAUGACAGGGUACCCAAGAAUUGUAGCAUGUUACUGCUCUAUCUGUAGACCCAGGUUAAAGCUCAGAAUUAGCUUGCUUUCAGUUUCUUUAUCUGGAUCUGUUUCUUUGACGGCUGAAGCUAGGCCUAGAACAUGCUUGUCAUGUGUAACAGUUCUUACAUACGCUAUUAGUUUUACUGUCUUAUCUUUGCUGUAUUGUGGUGUCUGCAGAGGGGAGAAAAAAGCCUUAUGUCAUUGCAAAGUCUUGUUUCAGUGCUCCUUUCUUGCUUUUUAUGAGCAUCUACCUUUUCUUUUGCUAUUAUGUUGACCAGAGAACUCUUUGGGGUUUUUGUGCGCUGUGUGUGUCCCUCCCCCCUUUUUUGUUAUGCAAUGGAAGGGAGGUCAGGCCUGAAAUAGGUGCCUCAAUAUAUUACUGGUUACUUUUAUUAAACAUAAUGCAUUUUCUAGGCUAUAUGUAGUGUAUCAACUACAAGGGGAAGCAGCAUUCUGUCUUGCUCUUGUUGAAUUCCUGAUUCUGGUGCCCUUAAGUAAGCAGCGUUGCAGAGAUGUGAUGACUGUCCUAAAUAAUUCUAGCACUAGAGGGAAAUGUUUGUGGCUCUGUUUGGCAAGUCAGACACAACAGUUCUGAAAAGGGAUUUGUUCACUGUUAUGGCUUGCCUGCCAGAAGACAGUUGUUACAUCUUAUCUUCUAUCCCUCACACUACCGUCCAGUGAAAUCUUUUGUGGUUGUCUUACUGGUCCAGUCUUCUCCAUGUAGGAGACCUGAAUAAUGCAGGGUCAAAGUGACAGAGGUGAAAUCAGGUAGAGGCUUGGUGAUGGAACAAGACCAGGGCUACCACUUGGACUGCAACUGAGCCAGUCUUGCAGCUUAAUAACACACAUCUUCACCCUGUGUAUUUUAUGCUAGGAGGAAAACUUGUUCUGGCAUAGAUGAAAGAAUGCUGAAUGUGUAGAAGUGGGGAACUAGAUUGUGAUAAGCUCUAGAAAGGAAUGUGUAUCUCGUGGGUGGGGGAAUUUACUUAAA